rnacentral:rRNA from 1 species
UACAGAGGGGGCGAGCGUUAUUCGGAAUUAUUGGGCGUAAAGGGCGCGUAGGCGGCCUUUCAAGUGACGGGUGAAAUCCCUCGGCUUAACCGAGGAACUGCCUGUCAGACUGGAAGGCUUGAGACCGGAAGAGGUAAGUGGAACUGCGAGUGUAGAGGUGAAGUUCGUAGAUAUUCGCAAGAACACCAGUGGCGAAAGCGGCUCACUGGCCCGGUACUGACGCUGAGGUGCGAAAGCGUGGGGAGCAAACAGG